AGGUCACAGGUAAAGUGAUAAGGCCCUUCACCUCAACAAGAUAGUUCGCAAAACCAUACAAUGGACUCACCCUCUAUAAUGCUUGUUCCUUCAAUCCCAUUUUCUGGUAAACCUCUCAGGUUAACUAUCCACAGCAUUGCCACUAUCCAUUAAUAUUUUUUUUACUCCAAAACCUGCAAUAGUUGCUGGCACAACCAUCGGAUCAUUUCC
rnacentral:lncRNA from 1 species